UCCGGUUGAUCCUGCCRGACCCGACUGCUAUCAGAGUGGGACUAAGCCAUGCGAGUCAACAUAGCAAUAUGUGGCAUACGGCUCAGUAACACGUAGUCAACAUGCCCAGGGGACGUGGAUAACCUCGGGAAACUGAGGAUAAACCGCGAUAGGUCAUCACUUCUGGAAUGGGUAAUGACUUAAAUCUACAUGGCCCCUGGAUUGGACUGCGGCCGAUCAGGCUGUUGGUGAGGUAAUGGCCCACCAAACCUGUAACCGGUGCGGGCCCUGAGAGGAGGAGCCCGGAGAUGGGCACUGAGACAAGGGCCCAGGCCCUAUGGGGCGCAGCAGGCGCGAAACCUCUGCAAUAGGCGAAAGCUUGACAGGGUUACUCUGAGUGAUUUCCGUUAAGGAGAUCUUUUGGCACCUCUAAAAAUGGUGCAGAAUAAGGGGUGGGCAAGUCUGGUGUCAGCCGCCGCGGUAAUACCAGCACCCCGAGUGGUCGGGACGUUUAUUGGGCCUAAAGCAUCCGUAGCCGGUUCUACAAGUCUUCCGUUAAAUCCACCUGCUUAACAGAUGGGCUGCGGAAGAUACUAUAGAGCUAGGAGGCGGGAGAGGCAAGCGGUACUCGAUGGGUAGGGGUAAAAUCCGUUGAUCCAUUGAAGACCACCAGUGGCGAAGGCGGCUUGCCAGAACGCGCUCGACGGUGAGGGAUGAAAGCUGGGGGAGCAAACCGGAUUAGAUACCCGGGUAGUCCCAGCUGUAAACGAUGCAGACUCGGUGAUGAGUUGGCUUAUUGCUAACUCAGUGCCGCAGGGAAGCCGUUAAGUUUGCCGCCUGGGGAGUACGGUCGCAAGACUGAAACUUAAAGGAAUUGGCGGGGGAGCACCACAAGGGGUGAAGCCUGCGGUUCAAUUGGAKUCAACGCCGGRA
rnacentral:rRNA from 1 species